ACGCUCGCCCCGGCAGCACAUGCACUAAAACUGGAAUGAUGGAGAAGAUUAGCAUGGCCCCUGCACAAAGAUAAUACGCAAAUUCAUGAAGUGUUCCAUAUUUAA